rnacentral:ncRNA from 2 species
CUGCGUCACCGGGGGUGCCCCUUCCAAGGGAAGCGGGCUGAGAUGACACCCCAGGAACCUGAACCGGGUCAUUCCGGCGGAGGGAGCGUGACGGAGCUGGCCC